GAUGAACGCUGGCGGCGUGCUUAACACAUGCAAGUCGAACGGAAAGGCUCCUGCUUGCAGGGGUACUCGAGUGGCGAACGGGUGAGUAACACGUGGGUGAUCUGCCCUGCACUUCGGGAUAAGCCUGGGAAACUGGGUCUAAUACCGGAUAGGACCACAUUUUGGAUGGUGUGGUGGAAAGUUUUUCGGUGUGGGAUGAGCUCGCGGCCUAUCAGCUUGUUGGUGGGGUAAUGGCCUACCGAGGCGUCGACGGGUAGCCGGCCUGAGAGGGUGUACGGCCACAUUGGGACUGAGAUACGGCCCAGACUCCUACGGGAGGCAGCAGUGGGGAAUAUUGCACAAUGGGCGCAAGCCUGAUGCAGCGACGCCGCGUGGGGGAUGACGGCCUUCGGGUUGUAAACUCCUUUCGCUAGGGACGAAGCGCAAGUGACGGUACCUGGAGAAGAAGCACCGGCUAACUACGUG
rnacentral:rRNA from 1 species